rnacentral:rRNA from 1 species
GACGAACGCUGGCGGCGUGCUUAACACAUGCAAGUCGAACGGCAAGGCCCUUCGGGGUACACGAGUGGCGAACGGGUGAGUAACACGUGGGUGAUCUGCCCUGCACUUCGGGAUAAGCCUGGGAAACUGGGUCUAAUACCGGAUAGGACCCUGGGAUGCAUGUCCUGGGGUGGAAAGCUUUUGCGGUGUGGGAUGGGCCCGCGGCCUAUCAGCUUGUUGGUGGGGUGAUGGCCUACCAAGGCGACGACGGGUAGCCGGCCUGAGAGGGUGACCGGCCACACUGGGACUGAGAUACGGCCCAGACUCCUACGGGAGGCAGCAGUGGGGAAUAUUGCACAAUGGGCGCAAGCCUGAUGCAGCGACGCCGCGUGAGGGAUGACGGCCUUCGGGUUGUAAACCUCUUUCAGCACCGACGAAGCGCAAGUGACGGUAGGUGCAGAAGAAGGACCGGCCAACUACGUGCCAGCCGCCGCAGUAAAAC